AAGGGAAGAAAAUCCUAUAAGAAUUCCAGGCCAGUGAGUGUUUUCCACCCAUUUCCCAGAUGGAGAAGCAGAAUCAGAGAGGCACCCAAGGAGUAACUGUGAAGAAAUAUAACCAGUUAUUUAGCAAAUAGAUCUAAAACUACACCCACAGUUCCAUAUUAUCCUGUUCACAAGAGUCACCAACGUUGGUUUUCUCUCUUCAUAAAUGUCUCUUCCUUGUAGCUCGAAGAAACAAUUCCUAAUAUCUUCAUAUGAUAUCUUCAUUCUUUGAUCUCAUACUCCCUGAGAAAAAUGACCAUAGUAGUAGUUUCAGAAAUAGUCAAAUCACAUUUACAUGCCCUUGUCAAGUUGACAAAUUUGGACAUAAGAAUCUAUGCCUGAGAAAGUCUCAAUUCUGGACAAAUGAUUCAUCAGGUAGGAUGGCAGGAUUUGAAGAUAAAAGGAAAGAGUUCUGGUCAUAAGUAAAAAAACAUCUUGUAGGACAUGGGAAGGGGAAGUCUGCUGGUCCACAUUACAACACCUUGGAAUGCCCCAGAAACUACCUUUGAAAUUAGAAUAAGUUCGGGGGAGAAGGGGAUUUCAGAAUUUGGAGCUAAUUUAGCAUCUGUCCAGUAAGAGAAACGUUAGAAAGAAUGAAUGCUUUCUUUGUAAUCCAAAGCCACUCCAACCACUAGCUUUGUGAACGGGGUCACCCAAAGAACCCUUUGAAGGGAGCAUGACAUAUAAACAUCCAUGGCAUGUCUGUCCCGGUUUCCAGGACUGUGCCAGGGCAUGUUGUCCCUGGCCCUGCAAGCCAGCACUUGGCGGCCCCUGCCUGACUCCAUGCCCUGGGGUCAGGGGAGAUUUUUUUUUUUUUUUUUUUUUUGGAAAUCAAACGCGGUAAAAUUCACCUGUUUAAUAACAUACAAUUCGGCAGUUUUUGAGUAUGUUUAGAGUUACGAGCCAACCAUCACGAUCGAAUCCCAGAACAUUUUUGUCACCCCAAAAAGAAACCUCAUGCCCACCAGCUGUUACUCUCAAUCUCCCCCUUUCAUCUGCCGCAUAGCCUCUGGAAACCAUGAAUCUACUUUCUGACUCUCUAGAUCUGCCCAUUUGGGACACUUCGUAUAAGUGGAAUCACACACAAAAGUGGCCUUUUGUGACUGUCUUCUUUCAUUCGGUGAUGCUUUCAGGACUAAUCUGUGUUGUAGGCUGAAUCCAUACUUCGUCCCUUUUUGUGACUGAAUAAUAUUCCACGAUGUGCCUAUCCCUACCCCAUUUCAUUUAUCUGUUCAUCAGCUGAUACACUCAGAAGGAUUUUAGUACUAAUCUGAGCUGAGCUUAAAACCUGCAGACAAUGAGUAACUUCUGUUUCCUGAGCAGGCUGCUAACAUGACAGAAUCAGUGAUUUCGGAAGAUGUCUGUGGUCGGGGGGUGGGGGUGUGGGGAUGAAAGCCAGAAGUGCAGUGAGGCACAGCUGGGCAUGGUGCAAUGUGGAGCUCGUUCUACUAAAGAGGAGAGAAAGGCCAAGGUCUCUCCAGCAAUCUCUAUGCAAGGAGCAACCCCGCACUCUCUCUCUCUCUCUCUCUCUCUCUCUCUCUCUCCAGCUCUGACCAUAAAAGCCAUAAAGCCAUAAAGCCACAGGCUGACAAGAGAAGUUCAUUCUGGUGGGGGAGCCCUCAGGGGUGGUUUCAAGCUUGUCUCAUAUGCCUCCUGGAAGCUCUGUUGAAAAUCAGUUCACCGCACUCCUUCCUGGAAUGUGCAUGACUGAUAAGUGUCUUGUGCACAAUUAUCUGCCAAACCCUGUUGUUAAUGAAAUGAAUGAUUUAGUUAUCCUUGGUGAUGGCCCGCACUGUACAAGGACCUAUUACCGCAUCUGUGAGGCUGGCAGGAACGCCCUGCCAAGGCACCUGUAUGCGAUGUUACAAAUGAGCUCUCUCUGCUCAAACUCAACUGCGGAGGGGAGGCUGCCCAAGGCCAUGGGUGCAGCCACAGCCUGUACCCCUCCCCAACAUGCAUCAGAGCUGGAAAUAUCUAGGGGCAAUGUGAGAAACCAGGCCAGAGUGCAGCAAUGUUUGCCAAUGUUGACCUGCAAAGCCCAAGGGGCUGCAUCUUGUCAGCACAUGGGAAAGGGACAGGCUGAAGGUCUGUGCUGACAUGUCAGGCUCCCUGAGGUCCAGGGAGAUGCUCAGCUGGCUGGUGGACAUCGGCAUUUCCGCCCACGUUGGGGCCUCCUAAAUGUGCCUCCUCCCGUGAUGCCCACCGCGCACCUCCCUUUCCUCUCCCCUCUCAGUCCGUGGUGUGGGGCUUCCGCUCCUUUCCCCACCCUCGUUCCCAGUACUGCACUCUCCAGACUUCCUCCCUUGCAAGGGAAGCAAGGGAGAGUAGCCGAAGGAAAGUCGAAAGAAAUGGGUAUGGUUGGGGCAACCCCAUGGUUGCUCGCAAGGCAAAUACGGACAGAAAUAAAGUGACUUGGCUCACGCCACGUUUAAUACACCGUGUGGGCACAAGUGUGUGUGUGGACACACACACAUUCCCCCUCACCUUGUUUUUAGGCAUAUUCCAUUUAGGGGUGAGGUCUUUAGGUUUGGAACUAGUCUCUCUGAGUUAGGAUGGAGAAAUGUAGCUCAGCCAGGUGUGCAAGCCGUCACGGGGCCUUCGUGAAGCUGGCAGAACCAGACGAGCCGGGUGGUGGAGGCUGCGUGGGUGAUGGUGGAGGGGCACUGGCCUGAUUCUGGCCACCAAACCCACAGCAGUAGGUAACAGAUGCUCAAAAAUGGCUUGCAUGCCUCGUUAUUUAUUUUGACAGCCUCCUGCAUGCCCCUCUAGAAAUGUCGUGGCAACUUAACAAUGGUAUUAAUGAAACAAAAGAGUAAACUGCAUUAUUAUGAGAGGAGUGUGGCAUGUGAAGACUAUAAGAAAGUCAGAGCCAAGAUCAGCACCUGGGAAUCUCUCUUCUGUGGCUGAAAUUUGGCCCUUCGGGGUGGGGGGGGUUGAUAGUGAAGAGGUGUCACUUAGAGUCCUGGUAGGGAUGGUGGGUGGAGGCAGACAAUGGUCCUUUGAUGGUGUCUCUGCAGUGGAGAAAGAAAAGAUCCUGUGAAUGCUUCUGGGGGUGUCCCUCACAGAAGAUGGGGGUGGGAUGACGCCAGUGUUCCUAUCAGCGCGAGCAACAAAGUAUCAUGGUCCGAAUUAUCCAGCUGGAGCUGAGGGUGAAAUUCCCGUGAUCUAUGGUGGUCAUUUUCCAUGUUUUGUAAAAAGCAGUGGUGCUCUUCUAUUCCAAUAAAAUCUUGUGCCAGCUCCUCCCCUGGAGGAUGGGAGACAAGAAAGAGGAAGACAGGGAGGAGGGGAAGUUGGGAGAGGGGGAGAGAGAUUGACAGAAGAGAGGAAACAUACUUCUUUGGUUCAAAAUGAAGAGGACCUGGCUAUUUUUCCAGAGCCUCCCUUUCCCCACACGGAAGUGGCUGAAGUGUCCCUCGUUUGAAUCCCAAGAGUCUGGAAGCCCCUGGUCCGAUCUACACGAAUGGAUGGGCAUUAAGGAAGGUGGGGGCAGGGGAAGGAUGCUUUUAUUGCUACUUACAUAGGAUUACUGUGAGAAUGAAUAGGAAAAUUUGUAUUUGAGUCUGAUAAAUUGGGACUUCCUCUUUUUGAGGGCCACACGUUGAUCCUUCCCAUCCCAAUAAACCAAGUUGUGAUACAGCAGGACACUGAAGGGACCCUAUAUUGCACUUGUUAAGUGUGUGGGCUCUGGAGUCAAACUGUCUGGAUUAAAUCCUGACCCUGCUACAUAGGAGCUGUGUGAUACUGGGCAAGUUACUUACCCUCUCUGUGCCUUAGCUUUCUCAUUAGUAAGAGGCAGUGCCAAUAGCACCUGCUUCAUGGGGUCUUGAGGGUUAUACCUGCUGGUGUGUAUGGCAUUUAGAACAGUGGCUGGCAUAUGGUAAUGCCUUAGUAGUAGCCAUUGUUAUGAUACAGGUUUAUAAGUCUACCAUUCCCUGCAUAUGCUGGGUCCCACAUGCACAAUUUAUAGCCCUCUGUCAUCAGGCAGACAUCCUGUCUCACCUCACAGCCCCAGAGGUGGCUCAGCUUGCUCAGCACUCGGGGCAGCCAGGGCUCUCUGAGCAAAAUGGGUAAAGCCUGAGGAAGGAGCAAGACGGUAUUCUGCCCUUUAUUGUUUGGCUUGGUACAGAAGGAGUCCGUGUGGACAUUUAGUCACAAUCUUAUUUGACCAUUGCGAGAUGUGGAAAGACAAGCCUUGCCUGUCUUUAUGAUCUAUAAACCCAAGGGGUGUUAAAGAAGGAGGCCAGUGGAUGCCUCCUUCAUAACGGAUUUAUGCUGAGCUCCAAAAAGGCACUAGACUGUAGUGUGUUUUCCCUAAAAUUCUUAGUUCCAUUCUCUUGAUGUCACCUACUUCCCAGUAGUGGUGCCACGACAUCUCAGAUCUUAUAUUCUUAUAUAGGGGAUUUUCCAAGGGUUUUCCCUGACCACUGUAAGGAGGUCCAUGUGUAAGUGGUUGGCAUUAUGAAGGAAGACUCAAGGUGCGAGCUGUCAGCAGAGUGAUAACCAUGACUUUUAAGUCCCCUGUUUCCAUCUUCCUGACAUCACCUCUAGGGGUCCCAUCAGCCUGUUAAAAGUAGAAGGGAGUCAUUUCCUACAGGGAACUUACCAUUUACUCUGGACCACCGAACUCACAGGCUAACCUCCAUGGUACAGACAGUGCUUGCUAUGGGAAGGGGGAGGCUAGAGGGGGCCUCUGGGGCAGAGAAGGGACCUGCCCCAAGCAGGAGGAUGGAGGUGGAGGACCGAGCGCGGCCGCCUCAGAGAAGGAAAUGGGUGUGGGUGCACCAGCGAGAGCGAGGAAACCAGAUUGAUGGAGUCCCAGAAGUAGCACAGAGAGCUGACAAUGGGAGAGUCCGGCAGGGGCAAACCUGGAAGUCCUAGCUGGCUCCUGUUGAUUCUGUAGGAAGUGCCAUGUGAUGUAUGACUGAGAAGGACUUGUCUUCUGUCUGGAACCCAGUUAGGAAACAGUCCCAGAUGGAGAGAAGGGCAGGGGCCGCAAGAGGGUCUGUAGCAGGUCGCGUGAACAUACAGACAGAUAGCAGAGCGUGUGCGAUCAGUCAGGUCUCUAAACCAAAUCUUCCUGGUGGGCUUUUUGCGUUAUUUUCUCUGGUUCUUCAAGUCCCUUAAUCCUCUGGGCCCUGAGCAUGGAUACUCCAGGGCUUCCAUAGACAUGAUUUUUCACAAGUCUUUGCAAGGGCACCAUCUUACCAGUGGAGAAACUAAGGUCAGUGUUCUAAAAGCCUGGUUCUAGGAGCACCCCUGGGAUCACAGCACAGUGGGGCUUGAGGCAUGGGCUGCUGGCCCCUCAUUCAGGGAUCUGGCUUCUCAACGUGGUCCUUUCCCCUGUCUGAUCAAGAAAGGAAAGGGUGUAUCCAGUUGCUUCUUUUAGGCACAGGUUCAUAGAGGUGGGGUGGGAACCCCGAUUUCCCACUGCUCCUUCAGCCUACUGGUGAGCAGAGAGCAGGCUGAGAAGGGUGUGCACUUAACCCUUGUCCUUGGACCUACAUGGAACAGAGGGAGGAAGGAAAUGCGCCUGAGCCUAGAAAGCAUGGCCACCCCUGGAGGAGGCAUGAUGCUCCACGAACACCUUCUUCUCCAAGAGGACUGCUUGUUCUAAGAAUGAAGAGUACAAGGCACGGGUCCUUAGGAUAUGAAGGGGACCAGUGGGCUAACAGUUGGCCUCCAUGUGGGCACUGUCCCUCCUUGAGUUUCUACCCACCUUCUCUGAGCCAUACCUUCUGUCUUUCACCCUCUGAGCAUCUUCCUUCCACCUGGGCUGCCUCUUGUCCUUUUUAUCCCUGAGCCUGUGAUAGGGGCAGGGUGCCCGGCCAGCACGUGGACAUCAUCUUCAGCUCCAGAUUCUCAGUGAGUGUGUGAGUGUGAGUGUGUGUGUGAGGGCUGGGGCUGGGGUUCGUCCGCAGGUCAGAGCACAGGAGUACAGAGAGCUUCUGAGGGUAAGGCCAUCUGCACACCCUAUACCCCGAAGCCGUAAGAACCUGUCACUCGGACCCACCGCCAGCCAAAGCAGCUUCCAUCACUGACCAGAGGAGCGCAGAAGCCACAGCAGUAAGUUAAGCCUCAGAGGGACUGGAUGUGGCUGGGCCCAGUGAGGGGCAGGAGGAGCCCCGGCUCUCAGAAAGAGCAGGCGCCAUAGUUCCAGAGAAGAGGAAGCAGCAGAGCUUUCGUGCCCCUCCCCCUUGCUCCCUGCACAAUGCUCACAUACCUUACCCUUGGGCCCUGCAAUCUGGGGGGCCCUGCAGAGACAGCUGAUCCCAAGUGGAACAGCCAAGGAUGUGAGGAUUAGAGCAAAGUGAUGGCCAGUGGAGUCUCUUCAAAGGUGCAUGGUGGGUGGUCAGCCAAUGCCCAAAGGCAGGAACAGUGGGGAGGCCGGAAGUCAGUGGUCAUGGCGGGCAGGGGGAGGGGGUUAAGGAAACUUGUAGACUCUCAGCUAGCUGUGUGGUGAGGGAGGGAGAGAGUGACCAAAGCGGGUGGUUUGGACAAGAAACAAAUGCUAUUCUUACGGACCGGUGCUCACAAUGGCCGGUGCCCUGGAGAAGCUCUGAAUAAAUAACCUGGGCCUUUGAACACGGAGGUACAGGAUAGUGUCACUUGAUGGGAACAUUUGUUUGCUUUUUCACCCCCUCUGAUGCCAGACAUCUUGAGGAACAAGAGAAGGGGACAAGCAAGGCUUUGGGAACUGGCUGAAGGGCGGGGCUCGGGGCAGGUGGGCAUGGUGGCCAGCUCGGCUGUCUCCCUGCCCCUUGGCUUUGCUAGCCUUGAGGACAGAGUCCCGGUUCUAGUACACUUGCCACUCCCUGUCCCCCUUCUUUUUGUCUUCUCUCUUCUGAUGGUGGCAAGUCCUUGCUUCACAUCUGGAUGGGAGCCUCUGAAGUUGGCAAGACUCCUUACCAUCCACAACCCAAGCCUGAUGGCUCUCUCAGGGACCUAUUUUGUGAGGUAAGACCAGUGGAGUCCGGCAGAAUUCAAGGGCCUCCUUCUUUGGACAGUGCACAAGAGACCAUGGUCUUCCUCUACAGAAAGCUGAAAAGCCUUGGAGUGGACACAGAUUGCUGGUCAGCAUGUGCGCUGGGCAUGUGCUGGCUUCCAGGCCUGUGAGGACCCGCAGAGUCGCUGCUGGAGAAGGCACGACCACCCUCCAGGAGCUCCCGCUCUAGGUCUUUUUCAUAUUAUGUAAGAAGCCAGAGCAGAUCACCUUCCUGCAUAUCUACCAUGUUCUUCAGCCCAUGGGCUGGAGUCAGAUAUGUGCCACACGGUCAAGGGUCCGUUUGUGGCCACUGCUGCCCACUCCUACAAUCUCUUCACUGAGGCCCCCUUCCCUGAGGGGCUCGACAUGGCGGUCCUCCUGCACACCUUCGGUGUCAUUGGCUUUUUCCUCAACUGCUACCACCAGACAUACCUGAAGAGCAAGCAGGAGAAGCAGACUUAACGGGGCUGGACCCAAAGACUGAAACUAGCAGAGCCGUCCCCACAGAGAGUUGCCAGAAGACAGCGUGCGCCACAGCCCACCUGUGUUGAACAGAUACCUCUGGGCCUGCAUUUCAUUCUAUGAAGGAUGAAGGAGAAUUGUCCCCCCCUCCUUUUUUCCCCAGAGUUAGGGAGGACAGAAAUGGACCAAGUUUCCUGAACUCACUUCCGUUAUAGCACUUUUCACAUGGAGUUAUUCCACUUUUCACACAGCCCUCACUGCAGUGCCGGGGGAGGGAGGGUGGGGGCUGUCUUCUUCCCAAGGUUCCCCACACGGGACAUAGUGCUUCAGGAAAUGUGCAUUUGGGUCCUUGUAGUCCACCACCGGUGGUCAGGGCUGGUAACAUGCCAGAAGUCAAGGCUGGCUUGAUAGCUCACCUUGCCAUGGGAAAUGAUGACAAGAAUGUCCAAGGGUGAGUGUGGGUCUGUUUGGUUUCUAGAGUGGCUGUGUGAACAUUUGUCCCUGUGUCUCUUCUAGUCUGUUCACUACUACCUGCACUUGUAGUUAUAUAGUUGUAUGAUUCUGUGUGUGUGAGUCGGCUGAUGGAAUGGGCUCUGUGUUUAUGUCUAAAUAUUUGCUUUUAAAUAUACAUGCUUGAUCCCUUUGAGUUUUUCUCUGUGUUGUUUGCUUGUCUCUUCUAUAAGUCUCUGUAAGUGCCACAUGGUAAUAGAAGCCAAAUUCGGAUUAAUACUUAAUACUGGGGCACCUGGGUGUCACAGUGGGUUGAGCCUCU